rnacentral:rRNA from 1 species
UUUCGCAAUGCCCGAAAGGGUGACGAAGCGACGCCGCGUGGGUGAGGAAGGCCUUCGGGUUGUAAAGCCCUGUCAGGAGUUAAGAAAUGUAGGUGCGCUAAUAUCGUGCCUAUUUGACAAAGGCUCCAAAGGAAGCCACGGCUAACUCUGUGCCAGCAGCCGCGGUAAUACAGAGGUGGCAAGCGUUGUUCGGAAUUAUUGGGCGUAAAGAGCACGUAGGUGGAUUUGUAAGUCAGAUGUGAAAGCCUUCUGUUCAACGGGAGAAUUGCAUCUGAAACUACAAACCUUGAGUAUAGGAGGGGAGAAUGGAACUUCUGGCGGAGCGGUGAAAUGCGUAGAUAUCAGAAGGAACGCCGGCGGCGAAAGCGAUUCUCUGGCCUAUUACUGACACUCAGUGUGCGAAAGCUAGGGGAGCAAACGGGAUUAGAUACCCCGGUAGUCCUAGCCGUAAACGAUGGGCACUAAGUAGAGGGGUUUU